rnacentral:rRNA from 1 species
AGUGAACGCUGGCGGUAGGCCUAACACAUGCAAGUCGAACGGCAGCACAGUAAGAGCUUGCUCUUACGGGUGGCGAGUGGCGGACGGGUGAGGAAUACAUCGGAAUCUACUUUUUCGUGGGGGAUAACGUAGGGAAACUUACGCUAAUACCGCAUACGACCUACGGGUGAAAGCAGGGGAUCUUCGGACCUUGCGCGAUUGAAUGAGCCGAUGUCGGAUUAGCUGUUGGCGGGGUAAAGGCCCACCAAGGCGACGAUCCGUAGCUGGUCUGAGAGGAUGAUCAGCCACACUGGAACUGAGACACGGUCCAGACUCCUACGGGAGGCAGCAGUGGGGAAUAUUGGACAAUGGGCGCAAGCCUGAUCCAGCCAUACCGCGUGGGUGAAGAAGGCCUUCGGGUUGUAAAGCCCUUUUGUUGGGAAAGAAAAGCAGCAGGUUAAUACCCCGCUGUUCUGACGGUACCCAAAGAAUAAGCACCGGCUAACUUCGUG